GCAGGAGCUUCCUUGCCAGGGAGAGAUGGAGAGAUGGCAUGUCAGCCUUGUUGCUGACACCGCGUAAGAGCAAAUUCCACUGGAACUGAGCCACAGAGACCGGUAAUGAAGAUUUACUUGGGAUGUUGUGAUGCUGAACAAGGACAAAAAGGAGGAAAAUGUAUGUGGGCUAAAACUGGAGAAGAGUUUGCCAAGGGAUCAUGGAAGAGAAGUGUGGUCGUGGCAGUAAUGGACUGAUAGAAAUCAUGAGGGAGGCUAACUGUGCGCCCCAAGGUGACGAUGUUGUGAUUUAAGUUCCAUCAGGACCUCAAAUCUCUUUGUAAGUGGCAUAUUGCGUACUUCAAGGAAAAAUAUCUGAACCCCAUGAUUUAACAACAGAGAGAAAGGAAAAAUCUUCAGGAGGUAAGAUGGGAAUGAGACAAGUAAUUUAAAUGCAAGGAACAAGAGGAAGAUGUGACGAGCAGGAAAUGGAAGAACUCCAAGAAUACUAGAGAAAUGCCAGUAUUCUAGGGAUCACAAAGAUGUACUUGGUUCUUUUUCUAAGGCAGCGAGUGG
rnacentral:lncRNA from 1 species